rnacentral:rRNA from 1 species
AUUGAACGCUGGCGGCAUGCCUUACACAUGCAAGUCGAACGGUAACAGGUCUUCGGAUGCUGACGAGUGGCGAACGGGUGAGUAAUACAUCGGAACGUGCCCGAUCGUGGGGGAUAACGAGGCGAAAGCUUUGCUAAUACCGCAUACGAUCUACGGAUGAAAGCGGGGGAUCUUCCGACCUCGCGCGGACGGAGCGGCCGAUGGCAGAUUAGGUAGUUGGUGGGCUAAAAGCUUACCAAGCCGACGAUCUGUAGCUGGUCUGAGAGGAUGAUCAGCCACACUGGGACUGAGACACGGCCCAGACUCCUACGGGAGGCAGCAGUGGGGAAUUUUGGACAAUGGGGGAAAGCCUGAUCCAGCCAUGCGGCGUGCAGGAUGAAGGCGUUCGGGUUGUAAACUGCUUUUGUACGGAACGAAAAGCCUCUUUCUAAUAAAGAGGGGUCAUGACGGUACCGUAAGAAUAAGCACCGGCUAACUACGUG